AAUAACAAUACAGGCCAUUUCUAAUGUCUUGUAAUUGGAAUGAGUACAAUCCAAACACCUUAACGAGGAACAAUUGGAGGGCAAGUCUGGUGCCAGCAGCCGCGGUAAUUCCAGCUCCAAUAGCGUAUGCUAAAGUUGUUGCAGUUAAAAAGCUCGUAGUCGGAUCUCGGGUGAGGUGGCGCACUGAACGGCGGAAGGGAAACCCCGGAAGCCGCGAUUGCGUCGCGCAGCAAUGUUUGGGGAAUGGUCCGCCGGGAUGGCGAGUACCAGCCCCACUCACCCCUAGCGGUGGUGGAAAGGGCGGUUGAGGGAAACCGAGACCUCACCCGGUCUGCCACUAAAUAAUAGGCUUCCAGAAGGGCGACCCCCCUAAUCUUUAUUGAUGUGCGGGUUAGGCGCGCACCUCUGGAUCGUUUACUUUGAAGAAAUUAGAGUGUUUAAAGCAGGCGCACACAGAGCAACGGGUCGUCGACCGUCAAAAGUUGGCGACCAGCCUUGAUACAUCAGCAUGGGAUAAUAGAAUA
rnacentral:rRNA from 1 species